UCCUGCUAGACUCUGCUGUCCUAUUAAAGUUUCUCCCUGCCCUGCACGUGAUGUCUGCCUCCGCUCCUCCUUUACAUCUGCUGCGCCCUGGAGCUGUCGGAUCUGUAACACUGAGAGCUUCUGUAACACAUGUGGGUCCAUUAUACUACUCUCCCAGCUUCUGUAAAAGUUUAGGAGCCAGCAGGAAGAGACCUUGCAAGUUGGACUUGAAUCUGAGAAGAAUGAAUCAGAAAAACUACAGAUGAGCGACUCAUCUCCAACUCCCUACUACUCUCUGUGUGACUGUCUUCAGUUUUACUAUCUGGUUUUGUUCUCUUUUCCAAGUGCCGAAUUCAUCACUCCCUCUCCCAACUGUCAGAUAGGAAUGUUAGCCUUCCCCAUCUGAAAUUGGGGCCUGCUGCGGGAGAAGCCACCUGUUAAUGUUAGGCUGAAAUCUCUGUUACCAACAGGGGGUUGCAGUGCCAUGAUUUACUUAACCACUACCCUACUGAGUACUUCUGUUUCUCAGAUUAUUACUAUUACAGUCUUGCAAAAAAAAUUCCUGUAACUAUAUCUUUCUAUGUAUGCAUGUGCACAUAUGCAUAGUUGAAUUCUUUUAAAAAAUUCUAUUUAUUUAUUCGUUUAUUUUACCAGAGCACUGCUCAGCUCUGGUUUAUGGUGGUGCAGGGGAUUGAACCUGGGACUUCGGAGCCUCAGGCAUGAGAGUUUCUUUGCAUAACCCUUAUGCUAUCUACCCCUGCCCCAUAGG